rnacentral:tRNA from 1 species
GGGACUAUAGUUAAUAAUAACAUUUGAGUUGCAUUCAAAAAGUACUAUGCACAAUAGUUAGUCUCA